GUAACAAGGUCUCCGUUGGUGAACCAGCGGAGGGAUCAUUACCGAGUUUACAACUCCCAAACCCCUGUGAACAUACCUUAUUGUUGCCUCGGCGGAUCAGCCCGCUCCCGGUAAAACGGGACGGCCCGCCAGAGGACCCAAACUCUAUUGUUUUUAGUGUAACUUCUGAGUAAAACAAACAAAUAAAUCAAAACUUUCAACAACGGAUCUCUUGGUUCUGGCAUCGAUGAAGAACGCAGCAAAAUGCGAUAAGUAAUGUGAAUUGCAGAAUUCAGUGAAUCAUCGAAUCUUUGAACGCACAUUGCGCCCGCCAGUAUUCUGGCGGGCAUGCCUGUUCGAGCGUCAUUUCAACCCUCAAACCCCCGGGUUUGGUGUUGGGGAUCGGCGAGUGUCCUUCGCGGACCAGCCGGCCCCGAAAUCUAGUGGCGGUCUCGCUGCAGCUUCCAUUGCGUAGUAGCUAACACCUCGCAAUCGGGACGCGGCGCGGCCAUGCCGUUAAACACCCAACUUCUGAAUGUUGACCUCGGAUCAGGUAGGAAUACCCGCUGAACUUAAGCAUAUCAAUA
rnacentral:misc_RNA from 1 species